rnacentral:pre_miRNA from 1 species
AGAGGGUGACGUUGGGUUGUCGACUUCUGCAUUUGUGUGGCAUUUAGUGUAGCACUAUAUGUCACACAAAUGCAGAAGUCGACAACAACCCAAUGUCACCCUCU